AGUGAACGCUGGCGGUAGGCCUAACACAUGCAAGUCGAACGGCAGCACGGUAAGAGCUUGCUCUUACGGGUGGCGAGUGGCGGACGGGUGAGGAAUACAUCGGAAUCUACUUUUUCGUGGGGGAUAACGUAGGGAAACUUACGCUAAUACCGCAUACGACCUACGGGUGAAAGCAGGGGAUCUUCGGACCUUGCGCGAUUGAAUGAGCCGAUGUCGGAUUAGCUAGUUGGCGGGGUAAAGGCCCACCAAGGCGACGAUCCGUAGCUAGUCUGAGAGGAUGAUCAGCCACACUGGAACUGAGACACGGUCCAGACUCCUACGGGAGGCAGCAGUGGGGAAUAUUGGACAAUGGGCGCAAGCCUGAUCCAGCCAUACCGCGUGGGUGAAGAAGGCCUUCGGGUUGUAAAGCCCUUUUGUUGGGAAAGAAAAGCAGCAGGUUAAUACCCCGCUGUUCUGACGGUACCCAAAGAAUAAGCACCGGCUAACUUCGUG
rnacentral:rRNA from 1 species